rnacentral:misc_RNA from 1 species
AGCAGACCCUUAGUCCUUUUUUUUUCUUCUCUGUGUCGAAAGCGCACACAGUAACUGCCAUUGGAGUCUCUGUUUCUGUCCACGAACUUUCUUCAGUGGACCAAAUCUCUUUCUUCAAAUUCAGUCAUUGAACCAUUCCUUAUCUUCAUCAUCCUCUGUAAAUUAAACACAUACGCAGGCUGAAACAAAUUGCUUCUAGUUUUUCUCUUCUCUGUUUUCGCUAUAGUGCUACGCUGCCGUUUCCUGUUUCCUUUUGCUCUUAGUUGCCGUUUCCUUUCUGAGAAAAUGUUAUUCCAACAAUGACAAGAAGGAAAAACUACUAGAAAACGACCAAGUUGAAAUCCGGUUUUUGUUGAAUUGACUGGUUUGGCUUUUGGACCAAGCGCAAAUAAUUCGUUCAAAGUCAUGAGUAUCAAGGGAAAUAAAUUUGUGAGGUUUGAAGACUGGAAAUCAGACAAAUCCUAUAGUUCAGAGAGGCAAUACUCCAUUGAUGAUGGAUUUUACGCAAGAAAAGUGAAACCAACUGCAACCGUGCUUUGGGAUAGUAUCCACCGACACUGGGAGAUGGGUUCUGACAAGUUCAGACGCCUGAGAAAACCAUCAAGCUUCCUCUCUUGGGGUGCUCAGCCAGCAAAAGAAUCAGGCACAAGGAAGAAAAUUCUUGAUCCUCAGGGUCCAUUUCUCCAGAAGUGGAACAAAAUAUUUGUGCUUGCCUGCGUGGUUGCUGUGUCCGUCGACCCCUUGUUCUUUUACAUCCCAGUGAUUGAUGGCAACGACAAAUGCCUAGAUUUGGACAAAGCAUUGGAAACUACUGCUUGUGUUCUUCGAACCUUCAUUGAUGUGUUUUAUAUACUUCGUAUUAUCUUUCAAUUCCGAACGGGGUUUAUAGCCCCUUCUUCUCGUGUUUUUGGAAGAGGCGAGCUGGUUGAUGAUCCUGUCAUUGUCGCUAGAAGAUACAUGACCUCCAGCUUUAUCAUUGAUGUCCUAUCAAUUCUUCCACUCCCUCAGGUGGUAGUUUUGAUCAUCAUUCCCAGCUUGCGAGGUCCUGUUUCAUUGAUUGCCAAGAACUUGUUGAAGUUUGUUAUUUUAUCCCAAUAUGUGCCAAGAUUUAUGAGAAUCUACCCGCUAUUCAAAGAAGUAACUAGUAAUUCUGGAAUACUUACUGAAACGGCAUGGGCUGGAGCUGUUUAUAAUCUCUUCCUCUAUAUGCUAGCCAGUCAUAUAAUUGGAGCCUAUUGGUACUUGUUCUCAAUAGAACGCGAACAUGGGUGCUGGCGUACAGUCUGUAAGGCUCCUCAGUGUAAUUCUACGGACUUGUACUGUGGAGAACAUCGUUUUGCAAACUUGAGCUCAUUUCUGAAAGAUUCGUGCCCUUUUAUCCAGCCUGAUGAAAUUAAAAAUUCAACUGUCUUCAACUUUGGAAUAUUUACUGAUGCUCUAGAAUCUGGCAUAGUGGAAACAUGGGAUUUUCCAAGGAAAUUCUUCUACUGCUUUUGGUGGGGUCUGCGUAAUCUUAGCGCUCUGGGCCAGAACCUCAAGACAAGCACUUAUGUUGGGGAGAUUAUUUUUGCCGUUUUCAUAUGCAUUGCUGGACUGGUUUUAUUUUCGCUGCUUAUCGGCAAUAUGCAGAAAUAUCUGCAAUCCACAACUGUUAGAAUAGAGGAAAUGAGAGUGAAAAGGCGAGAUGCAGAGCAGUGGAUGGCCCACCGUAUGCUCCCUGAUAACCUGAGGGAGCGGAUUAGGAGCUAUGAGCAAUACAAAUGGCAGGAAACCAGAGGUGUGGAGGAGAGGACUCUAAUCCGUACUCUUCCUAAAGAUCUCAGAAGGGACAUAAAUCACCAUCUUUGUUUCAAUCUAAUCAUGAGAGUGAGGGCUUUCUUAAACCUUGUUUUUUCUGAUAUACACUUUAAAAUUGAUCCAACAGUUAGCUAAAACAUUCACCAAUUCUCUAGGUGCCAAUGUUUGCAAAAAUGGAUGAGCAAAUAUUGGAUGCAAUAUGCGAUCGUCUCAAGCCAGCCCUUUACACAAAGGAUAGUUUCAUUGUCCGCGAGGGGGAUCCGGUUGAUGAGAUGCUUUUUAUCAUGCGAGGUGACCUAGUGAGUGUGACCACGAAUGGUGGAAGAACUGGCUUCUUCAACGCUGUUUAUCUCAAGGGUGGUGACUUCUGUGGAGAAGCUCUUCUUACAUGGGCCUUGGAUCCCCAUCCAUCUUCCCAUCUCCCUAUCUCAUCUAGAACUGUACAAGCUCUAACGGAGGUUGAAGCCUUUGCUUUAGUAGCUGAAGACUUGAAAUCUGUUGCUUCCCAGUUUCGCCGUCUUCACCACAAGGAUAUCCAGCACACAUUCAGGUUCUUCUCGGUGCAGUGGAAGACAUGGGCAGCAUGCUUCAUUCAAGCAGCCUGGCGUCGUUACUGUCGGAGGAAGCAAGCAAACAGUCUACGCCAAGCAGAAGACAGAUUGCAAGACGCUUUGGCAAAUGAGGCUGCAACCCCGCCUAGCCUUGGUGCUACAAUCUAUGCAUCACAAUUUGCUGCCAAUGCAUUAAGAAGUCUGAGGCAAAAUGGGGGACGCACCUCUAGACUGGCACACAGAUUGGCACUGGUGCCUCAGAAGCCAGCUGAGCCUGAUUUUUCUGUUCACCAUCGCUAGAGACCUUGAAUACUCCAAGUGAAUUUAUCUUUUAGUUUUUGCUCAUAUUUUGCAAGUUCAAAUGCAGUUGUACAUUAAGCGUAAUAAUAUCGUGGUUGUAAGCUUGAAGUCGAUGUAUAUACAUCUUAAAUCUACAAGCUUGAUUACAUAUUUUGUUGGGAUUUGAGGCUGAGCAGACUCUGUUUAAUUUAUUAAUAUAGUUUUUUAAGUUG